rnacentral:lncRNA from 1 species
AUUGCUUGUUUCCAGUUUGACCAAUCAGCUCUACGUCGACAUUCAUCAACGGAAUGCGGUUCAAUGUCAUCGCUCAACAUGAUCUCAGUAGCUACUGCAAAUGCUAAUGCAUCGUCGACAAUCAUCUCAUUUCUACGCCACACAUCAUCUAAGCUAGCAUAAUAGACCGAAAUCUCAUGAUUCUCGGGAGGAGGAUUCGUCUCUUCAAGGACGCUUCCAUAAUCUAGAAUUUCCUCAUGAGUUGGGUAA